UACAAAUGGAAACAUGUAAUCUAACUAACUAUUAGCAACCCUCAUCUUCUCUCUUUAAAUAUUGAUAUCUUUCCUUACGUCUCGAAAUCAUCAGAGAAUCGGCAGCCAACAAGUAUAAUUAUUGUCUGGGAAAGAAAUUUAAAAGAGAAAUUGUUUCAGUAUUGUAUAUUAUGCUAAGAUGUCGCCUUUAUCUGCAUUUGCACCUGCAUCUUAUUGCGUUAUUUGGUUGUGAUUCGAAGCCCAAAGCACAAAAAAGCCUUUGCAAUUAGCUGCCGAUCGAAUGAGGAAAAUAGGACGGCCAUGGGCAAGAAGGUGCAUGUGCAGAUGCAGAUGAAUGCCAUUUUCGCUAUUUCGGACUUGCGAUACAGAUACUCUUCAUCUCUUUCUUUUGGGAUACUCAAAGAAUUCGCAAUAGUUUCUUCACAAACCUAAUGCACUUCAGAAGGGUUCUUCAAGAAUCUUUUGAACCAUGCACAGAUUAGUUCGAUGACGAUCAGUUUUCAAGGAGCUUCAAAUAUUAAGUUAAGCCCUUCAGCAUUUAUAGGGCUUUCAAGGUAAAAAUUAAUAUCUCCCACCUACAUAAAUUUUGCCUAAUCAACUUAUUAGUUUACUGGCCAAGUUUAACUCAUUAAAUUUUGCCUAAUUUUAAGUUUUAAACACUUAAAAUUAAUAAAUACAGUACUUAAUAUAUAUAGUUAGGGGUCUCCAUUAUUACAGUGACUUGUUGGCUUUAUAAAAGUAAAAAUAAAAUGAGUAAAAGACUAAAAACAACCAUACAAACACAAGAUUUGUAGUGACUUAUUCUCCGCAAUUCUAAUAGCCAUUAUGGUCAGAGAUGCAAAGAUCAUCUCUGUUCAUCGAUACCCGAAAAUAAGCAUAAACCAAGUGCUUAAAAUGGAGAUGCUGAAACUGUCGUUCUUUUUUGUUCAAUUACUUUUAGCCUUCUUUGGGACAAAUAUUGGAAAAAGACAAUGCACUGAAUGUAUGAAAAAGUCAGAUGUUUUUUUCUGCUCCCUAAAGAUUUCUUUAGCUGGUAGUGCUUGGGGGAUCGAAAGUGACAGACACUGCAGCUCAAAACCUGGUGCCGGCCCUCUGAUUAUUUUCCUUCCAUGAGCAUCUGCAUAUCAUAUGCCAUGUACAUUAGGGUACUAUUGAAUAUAUUCAAGAGCAACGUAUGAUUAAGAAAGCACGAAAAUCAAAUACAACAUUACAUUCAGAACCCAACAGAAGCAAGAUAUGUGAAAUAUUUAUUAUAUAGAAUCACAUAUAAUUCGGUUGUUGUUUAACAUACAUGAGAAAGUGUGAACUGUUUUUUUCUUUUUUUAAUUUUUUAGACAUGGAUUUUAAGGAUUGUCAAAUGCUGAAUUUGGUAUGUUCUGCUGGCAAGGUUCUGAAUUCUGAUGAACCCUAUAGGGCUUGGUCAAGUUAUUGUUGACCAUACUCUCCCGAGAAUUACAGUAGUGAAAGGAAACAAGCUAACUUCGUCCAUUUGAACGUUAAGCAGCAAAUACGAAUCUCUGUUUUACCAAGUCAGGAAUGACGAUAAUUAUCAAUAUCAAAUAAUUUAAGGUCCAAACUAGUUGGUGCCCCAUGUCAAAUAUUGUCAUUAUAUAAUAUGUGAUUUUGCUUUCCAGAUUCAUUGACUUUUAUGCAGCAGUUGGUUAUAUGAGGGUUUUAUUGUUUA